rnacentral:rRNA from 1 species
GGGCCCGCACAAGCAGCGGAGCAUGUGGUUUAAUUCGAAGCAACGCGAAGAACCUUACCAGGUCUUGACAUCCAAUUAAAGCUAGUGAAAGCUAGUGUCCCUUCGGGGGAAUUGAGACAGGUGGUGCAUGGUUGUCGUCAGCUCGUGUCGUGAGAUGUUGGGUUAAGUCCCGCAACGAGCGCAACCCUUAUUGCCAGUUACCAGCGGGUAAAGCCGGGGACUCUGGUGAGACUGCCGGGGACAACUCGGAGGAAGGUGGGGACGACGUCAAAUCAUCAUGCCCCUUAUGACCUGGGCUACACACGUGCUACAAUGGCCGAAACAGAGGGAAGCAAGAGCGUAAGCUGGAGCCAAGCCCAAAAAGACGGUCCCAGUUCGGAUUGUGGGCUGCAACCCGCCCACAUGAAGUCGGAGUUGCUAGUAAUCGCGAAUCAGCAUGUCGCGGUGAAUGCGUUCCCGGGCCUU